UACGUAGGGUGCAAGCGUUAAUCGGAAUAGCUGGGCGUAAAGCGUGCGCAGGCGGUUUUGUAAGUCUGUCGUGAAAUCCCCGGGCUCAACCUGGGAAUGGCGAUGGAUACUGGCGGGCUAGAGUGCGGUAGAGGAGAGUGGAAUUCCCGGUGUAGCAGUGAAAUGCGUAGAGAUCGGGAGGAACAUCAGUUGCGAAGGCGGCUCUCUGGACCAGCACUGACACUGAGGCACGAAAGCGUGGGGAGCAAACAGG
rnacentral:rRNA from 1 species